GUCGACGUACUUCAUAGGAUCAUUUCUAUAGGUCACGUCCCUCUUUGACUCUUCAAAAGAGCCACUGAAUCCAACUUGGUUGAUGAGUGUGAUUACCCUUGUACCCUCAAAGUGAGAAACUAUUUAGCUUGACUGUGAUUCUUUGCAAUCUGGUCAUCUACUUAUAUUUGCCUUUAUUCAAUUAAAGGAGCGAUGAUCUUUAUCCUUUUCAUUGUACCUUUUCGGAGGGGUUUGGAUUGGAUGGGUACAAGUGGCUGUCUGACAAGU
rnacentral:snoRNA from 1 species